rnacentral:rRNA from 1 species
AACGUAGGGUGCGAGCGUUGUCCGGAAUUAUUGGGCGUAAAGAGCUCGUAGGCGGUGUGUCGCGUCGACUGUGAAAACCCGCGGCUUAACUGCGGGCUUGCAGUUGAUACGGGCAGGCUAGAGUUCGGUAGGGGAGACUGGAAUUCCUGGUGUAGCGGUGAAAUGCGCAGAUAUCAGGAGGAACACCGGUGGCGAAGGCGGGUCUCUGGGCCGAUACUGACGCUGAGGAGCGAAAGCGUGGGGAGCGAACAGG